rnacentral:lncRNA from 1 species
GGGAAAUGGUCUCACAGCAACUCAUUGUGACACUCUCACAUUCUCUAAGAAUCAGAACAUUCUGCCAAAUUGAGCUGUGGUGAAGCCUCCCUUAUGUGGCCUGCAUGAAUUUGUGCAAGGUUGUCAUGACACCAGCCUGCAACAGUCUGUGUUCCUAUUGGUAUUUAAUAAUGAGUUUGGGACUUGGAUUGAAUUCUGACAAGCAAUCAAGAUCAUGUCUCCAUGACCAACGCAGACACACCCAGAAUUGUGCUCCAACAAUGCCCUGGCCUACUCCCGAGAAAAUCACACUGACACAACGAAACUUAACCAUCAUUUUCCAUUACUUGCCAACUUGACACUCAAACACAGUCCUUAAACCAUGCUUAAUCCUUUAAAAAACACAAAGUCAUUAUUCUGCCUAAUACAACUAUCUUACAUACAAUGAAAAAUGCAAUAAUUCCUUCCUUCAAACCUCAACAGUUUUAACAUUCUUCAAAAGUCCAAGUCCAAGUCUCAUCUGAGAUUCCAUGGAAACACUUAGCUGUUAGCUUCUGAAAAAAAAAAAUCUAAACCAUGUUAUAUAUUCCAAAGUACAAUGGCACAGGGUAAACAUUCCCAUUGCAAAAGGGAGAAAUAGGAGGAUAGAAAAGAAUUGUACCAAACCAAGACUGAAACCCAGCAGGGAAAAUAUUGAGUUCUAUUGUUCCAUAUUCAGUAUCCAGGGGCAAUGAUAGAGGGAUGUGAUUUCCAAAGGCCUUGGGCAGCUCAAUCCACAUGGCUUUGCCACUUGAAAUCUACCCAGCCUCUCUCUUGGGUUGGGUGUGCUCAGUCUACAGACUUCCUCUUUAGGUCUCUAAUAUUUCUCACUUCCUGGGAUCUCUACUGAACUUUUGGUUUCAUUUCAACAGUUUCACACAAGCCUUCCUUUGAAAUAUGGAUGGGACCCUCCAUGACUCCACAACUCUAGCAUUUUGGAUGCCAGUAGAAUGAAUAUCAUGUGGUAUCAAGACAUUUCAGAAACUUCUUACAUGUUCUUAUGUGAACCCAAUGUAGAGAACCAAAUACUGCCCUAUCUCUUCACUUCCAUUAUCACCUAAUUUCAGGUUCCCAAAAUUUCUCACAGGAUUGUGAAAAACACUAUUUAGACCAAAUCAAGCUCCUGGUUUCCAGGAUUAUUCACUUCAAAUUUAUCCUUCACACCAGAUAAUGGCACAGUAGAAGUAGAAGUAUACUUAUUUCUUUCCCUUUAAAAAAUUUCCAUAUGACUGCUUAUCAAUAAAGAAAAACAUCUAAG